UUGUCUCAUUUCUUAUCUGUGUAUAAGACCAAUGAUCCAUAUUUUUAUGUUGUUUUAAAAGUGUUCUUACCUAUGAUGAGUUGCGAACUGUAUUGCCUACAUUGUUUGAACAAUCUGUGAGAAGCUUAUGCAACGUCUGAGGAUGAACAA
rnacentral:pre_miRNA from 1 species